GACAGCAGUCGCCGCGGGAAUACGUAGGGGGCAAGCGUUAUCCGGAAUUAUUGGGCGUAAAGAGUGCGUAGGUGGUCUAUUAAGCGCGAGGUGAAAGGCAAUGGCUCAACCAUUGUUAGCCUUGCGAACUGGCAGACUUGAGUGCAAGAGAGGAAAGCGGAAUUCCUAGUGUAGCGGUGAAAUGCGCAGAUAUUAGGAGGAACACCGGCGGCGAAGGCGGCUUUCUGGAUUGUAACUGACACUGAGGCACGAAAGCGUGGGUAGCAAACAGGAUUAGAUACCCCUGUAGUCCCUGUCUCUUAUACA
rnacentral:rRNA from 1 species